rnacentral:rRNA from 1 species
GGCGAGUGAAGCGGCAACAGCUCAAAUUUGAAAUCUGGCCCCCAGGGCCCGAGUUGUAAUUUGCAGAGGAUGCUUUUGGCGCGGUGCCUUCCGAGUUCCCUGGAACGGGACGCCAUAGAGGGUGAGAGCCCCGUCUGGUCGGACGCCUAGCCUGUGUAAAGCUCCUUCGACGAGUCGAGUAGUUUGGGAAUGCUGCUCUAAAUGGGAGGUAUAUGUCUUCUAAAGCUAAAUACCGGCCAGAGACCGAUAGCGCACAAGUAGAGUGAUCGAAAGAUGAAAAGCACUUUGAAAAGAGGGUUAAAUAGUACGUGAAAUUGUUGAAAGGGAAGCGCUUGUGACCAGACUUGGGCCCGGUGGAUCAUCCAGCGUUCUCGCUGGUGCACUCCGCCGGGUUCAGGCCAGCAUCAGUUCGCCGCGGGGGAAAAAGGCUUCGGGAACGUGGCUCCUACGGGAGUGUUAUAGCCCGUUGCAUAAUACCCUGGGGCGGACUGAGGUUCGCGCUCCGCAAGGAUGCUGGCGUAAUGGUCAUCAGCGACCCGUCUUGAAACACGGACCAAGGAGUCGUCUUCGUAUGCGAGUGUUCGGGUGUAAAACCCCUACGCGUAAUGAAAGUGAACGCAGGUGAGAGCUUCGGCGCAUCAUCGACCGAUCCUGAUGUUCUCGGAUGGAUUUGAGUAAGAGCAUACGGGGCCGGACCCGAAAGAAGGUGAACUAUGCCUGUAUAGGGUGAAGCCAGAGGAAACUCUGGUGGAGGCUCGCAGCGGUUCUGACGUGC